GCAUGUGUGUAAAAUCCGAGUUUAGAGAGCAGUAGCACUCUAUAGCAAGUCCAAGUUAGUAAGGGUGCAGUGUAGUCUUUUGUCGUGAUGCUGCAAGCCUCCAACAGCAUGAUGCAAUUUCCGGUAGAGAGGGCCGAGAGGCCAACUGUCUAGAACAAAACAAACACAACAAGCACCCUCACUGAUUGCGCUGCUUGGGACAACGCCACUAGAGAGCUCUGCUUCAACUACUUCAAUAGGGAGCUGAUUACCUUCGAGCGGUGUGAUCACCGGAACGAAUGCCAAUGCUGGAGAGGAGUCUGGAUCUCCUGCCCACGAGAACUCUGCCCACGUUUAAUGCGGGGGGAUUCUGAUCUAAGAUGGAAGCGGAGAGAGAGGGUCGAGAAUUGAAGAUGGAGCUAACAUCCGUCCCGUUAUCUCCGUACUAGUUGAAGAUGGAGCUCGUGUGGGAGGACAGGUGUCUCGGUUUGAUUGUGUGGGGCGUUUGUGGGGCGCCCAAUGGUGAUUUGAACUCAUCCCUGUUCCCCCUAUUCUCUUCUCGCUCCCUCCUUGCCUCCGCUAGCUCUCUCUCUCGACCUAUCACCGGUUGUGCCACCCUGCAACCUCCGACGCCCCUACAACCGGCGAUCGAAGCCCAUCGUUUCUGCCACCUCCUCUGCAAGGGUUUGCAGCAGAUCUGAGUAUUAAAAGAUGUGCUUGGUUUGAAAACUCUCAAAGAGAGAGAGAGCGAAAGAGAAUGGUACGAAGAGGAGGUUUUGGUUAGUUUCGACACAGCGUUCCAGCUUACAGCAAUCUUUCGUUUGACAGAAGUAUAUAGUCUUUGUAUCUUGAUAAUUCGAUGUAGAUUCUAAACUAAACUCGCCUUGUAUUUUUAGUUUUGGGUUGUAGAGGUAGAUCCUUGUUUUGUUAAUUUAGUAGGUGUUAGUGUAGCUUGUUGAGUCCAGUUUACUUUUCCUACGUUACUCGUCCUUCUGGCUCUAUUUUCAGUUGUUUUUGCUGUUAAAAGUUCUUUAGUAAAGGCGAUUCUGAGAGUCCAGUUGUUGGUA